rnacentral:tRNA from 2 species
GGGGGUGUAGCUCACAUGGUAGAGCGCUUGCUUUGCAUGCGAGAGGCACAAGGUUUGAUUCCUUGUAAUUCCA